rnacentral:lncRNA from 1 species
CAGCAGUGUAAGGACAAUUCAGCACUAGAAAAAUGAUCUGCAUAAUUAAUAAUACUGAGGACAGAAACUAGUCCUCAUCAAAGUCUUCACAUAAAGUCUACCAUUUGUCCAUUUAUAACAGUGACACAUUCUUGCUGCAGUGACAUAUACGGGUCCACCUACUGCAGGAUGUGUAAGUACGCAGGCUACACUGACACGUGGACGGUCACACCGCCAUUUGUAUGCACAGACUACACUGUAUCAUCCGCAGACUUCUGCGGGGCCGCCGAGGCUCCUGAGGGGCACUCGGUAAAGCCGACGCCGUGGAAGAGAAAGGCACGACAUUGUAUCCAAUACCAGAAAUGACACGACAGAAAGAGAAGCUGAACUCACCCGAAGGCCGGUGGGGACGACCCCAGAAGUCCUCCGGGCCUCCGCCACUGCACCCCAGUCUGGGGGAAGGAGAGCACCUGGACAAAAGGAAGAAUGUAGAGGAGAAGCGGCCCGGGGGCUCCCGAGGAAAGCCCCCCUCGGCGCCCCCCGAGCUGCCAAAGGCCAGGGCGCCGGUCAUUCCCCGGUCAUUCCUUCGGCCCCCUCGGUCUCUGCUCUGGUCGCACGCAGGGCGCAGACGGUGCGGAAUCCAAAGGACUCACUGACUGGCUGAGCGGGGCCAGACCGAGGGCCAGGACACCCUGGGAGAGGGGCGGGGACACCCCCAAGAGCCGGGGUCCUGCGCUCCACCGCUCUGUCCCCAGGUGCUCCUCGGCCCGGGGGCUCACUCCCUUCCCUCCCCACAGCUGGCCGAUGCUCACCUCUCCCUCCGAGCACUCCGGCCACGCGUUCCAUGGUCACCCCCUCUCUGCCCAGCCAGGGCGGCCAAGAUGGCCAGGCCGGCGGGGUCCCGGGCCCGCUCUCACCAGGGGCUGCCCUGGAGCUGCAGACGAGGGGCUCCUUCAGCGCGAGGGGCUCCUUCUCCCAGGGGCAGCCUCUACCACCUUCCCGGAGAGCUGGGACCUGGGGGCUCAAAAGCAAGGUCACUUCAGCCGGCCCGCCCCAGGCCCCUGAAAACCCUCCCCAGGGUGGGAAGGGAGGCAGCAGGAGGGGCCUGACCUCAGAAGGGCUCGGCCCCUCGGAUCCGCACCAACAGUCCAAGUUUGGAAGUCGGACUUCCCAGGUCAGAUGGCGGCCCACUACUCCUGACUCUGAACACCGGAAGAACGAUCCCACAAUGCGUCGCGCCAUACGGCUAUUCGCUAGAGGCAAGCUGGAAAGGGCAAGAGGAAGUACGCAACAGGCGGGGAGCACUGCGCCUUCUGGGAAAUGGAGUCCGGAAGCGGAAGGCUCCUGCCGGGCACGCGCUCACCUAGACUCCAUCUCCCAGAAGGCACUGUGGUUCCGCUUUCCUACGCUAGAGCGUCGCGUCUGCGUCUGCGCACUGGGCGCAGGUUUUGUCGGCCUCCUGGGACUUCGCGUGUUUGUGACCUUAACUUUGGGGGACUUCCUCUAAACGUUUAAGAAUAAGUAAAACAGAGAAAAAAAGAGCAGAUAGGUGAAUUAGGAAUGCAACUCAAAACAAAACAAAACAAAACAAAACCUAGGAAAAGAACAAAUUUAAUAUCCCCAAUUAAACACCAAAUUGGAAAUCCUGAAAAUCAAAGGAGAGAUUAAUAAAAGCAAAUGUAAUAAAACCGUUGAACUAAUA